rnacentral:tRNA from 1 species
ACCUGGGUGGCUCAGUCGGUUAAGCGUCUGACUUCAGCUCAGGUCAUGAUCUCAUGGUUCGUGGGUUCGAGCCCCGCAUCAGGCU